UACAGAGACCUCAAGCGUUAUCCGGAAUCAUUGGGCGUAAAGCGUGCCGAUAGGUGGUUUUUGAAAGUCUUGGGUAAAAGCCAGAAGCUUAACUUCUGAGUUUGCUUAAGAUACUGCAAAACUAGAGGGGCAAAGAGGUGCUUGGAACGAACGGUGUAGUAGUGAAAUGCGUUGAUAUCGUUCGGAACACCGAAAGCGAAGGCAGAGCACUGGGUGCCACCUGACACUGCUAGGACGAAAGCGUGGGGAGCAAACAGGG
rnacentral:rRNA from 1 species